CCUACGGGAGGCAGCAGUGAGGAAUAUUGGUCAAUGGACGAGAGUCUGAACCAGCCAAGUAGCGUGAAGGAUGACUGCCCUAUGGGUUGUAAACUUCUUUUAUAUGGGAAUAAAAUGUUCCACGUGUGGGAUUUUGUAUGUACCAUAUGAAUAAGGAUCGGCUAACUCCGUGCCAGCAGCCGCGGUAAUACGGAGGAUCCGAGCGUUAUCCGGAUUUAUUGGGGUUAAAGGGGGCGUAGGUGGAUUGUUAAGUCAGUUGUGAAAGUUUGCGGCUCAACCGUAAAAUUGCAAUUGAAACUGGCAGUCUUGAGUACAGUAGAGGUAGGCGGAAUACGUGGUGUAGCGGUGAAAUGCUUAGAUAUCACGAAGAACUCCGAUAGCGAAGGCAGCUCACUGGACUGCAACUGACACUGAGGCUCGAGAGUGUGGGUAUCGAACAGGAUUAGAUACCCCAGUAGUC
rnacentral:rRNA from 1 species